CAGCAGCCGCGGGAAUACGUAGGUGGCAAGCGUUGUCCGGAAUUAUUGGGCGUAAAGGGCUCGCAGGCGGUUUCUUAAGUCUGAUGUGAAAGCCCCCGGCUCAACCGGGGAGGGUCAUUGGAAACUGGGAAACUUGAGUGCAGAAGGGGAGAGUGGAAUUCCACGUGUAGCGGUGAAAUGCGUAGAGAUGUGGAGGAACACCAGUGGCGAAGGCGACUCUCUGGUCUGUAACUGACGCUGAGGAGCGAAAGCGUGGGGAGCGAACAGGAUUAGAUACCCGCGUAGUCCCUGUCUCUUAUAC
rnacentral:rRNA from 1 species